UUCAUCAUCAGAGACUUCAGACUUCCUUCCUGGCUGACGCACAUCAACAGGAACUGUUGGUGGGCCUCCUGGUACUUUAUUCACUUGAGCAUUCAGUCCAAAUUCUACAGCAUCCUCCUGCUUCCAAGCUUCAUGAAAAUCUGUUCACUGGUUCAAACAGUAUCAGGUCGAAACACAAAUGCCAACAUCUGAUGUUUCGCUCGGAUGAAAUCUGCUUUGGUUGGACUAAAGUGUAAAAAGUUUACAUAAAAUCAGUAUCUUCAGUCACAGAAAGAAACAUUGGCUUGAGACAUGCUUGUACAUUCUGUCACAUAAAGAUGAACUGCAAGCCUCGCAGUCCAGUCUUUCUGAAUUGCACAACUGCUGUAAAAUUAUUAUCAAUCAAAAAGACAUUAUAUCUCUUUUUGUUACAGUCAAUUUGGGUGUAAUUUCAUUUUAUGAUAAAGUUUUGUUCAAAUGUAGGAUAUUUCUCUUCAGGAAAGCGUCUCUGAGGGAUGCCAUCAGGAGUCGGAUGUUCAUGUGAUUACUGAAUUAUUACAAAGCCCUAUGGUUAUCACUGGAGACAGAAUGGAGCUGAUUCCAGUAUGAGGCCUAUUAAUAAAUUUGGUAACAGAUGACAAAUUUGAUUCAUUUUGCAACAAGAUUGCUUAUGUUUUGAAGGAAACAGAAACAAUUUCUGACUUCACACUCCUCAAGCAAGACUACUUGUAUAUGCACUCCUACUAUGGGUGCUAUAAGAAGCUGUGCAGUACAUUAUAAUAAUUAUUAUUAUUUUAGUGAGUGCUAAUUUUGUGCAGCCUAAUGAGGAAUUUCACAGUUUGCACAACUCACUAAAUACAGUGAAAACCUUUUUCGCUUUAUGGUUUCUAUAGGAAGCACUGGACAUAAGCAUCAGAUGUGUGGGUAGCGAUGAAGAAGUGCAGAAGACAGUUAAGGACUGGUUCAAUGGACUGGCAGCAGAUUUCUAUGAUGCAGGCAUAUAGAAACUCAUCACAAGAUAAGCCAAAUGCUUGAAUCAUCAUGGGAAUUAUGUAGAAAAGUUAUUUAAGGUCUGUAGUAAUAAUGUAAAGCAACAUUUUAAUUUUAUUCAUUUAUUUUUAAUCACCAAACAUUCUUUACUUUCUGGAUGACCUACGUAAGAAGAAUAAACGAAUAUUAAUAAUAACAAACACGAAAACUUUGUCAUGUUUCUUUAUUUAGGUUUGACUCUUACUCCAUACAUGGUUUUUCAUCAAUAUCUUUUAUACCUUUCUAACUUAAACUAUUGCAAUUAUUUUUGCUGGAAGCACUUCUGUUACAGUUUGUUUGGUUAUUCCUACACAUGCCAAAUUUAUAGGUACAUUCAGUUUCACUACAUGUGUAGCUAUACACGUAUAUAAUUUUAUAUCAACUAAUCCCAUGGCACUGAUCACAGUGGCAGUCUAAGGCAUGAAAU